rnacentral:lncRNA from 1 species
AUGGAAAUAGUAACGCCAAGGGCCCCAGGUUACCCUCUACUUGCGUGUAGGGCUGGGCAGUGGCUGCAGGGCACCUCGCCCCAGCCCAGGAGGGGCAGGAGGCAGCGGCCUUGCUCAUGCUGCUGCUGGGCUUGUCGGGAGGGCAAGGGGGAGCUCUGGCACCCGGAAAUCUGGCUGCAAGGAAGGGAGAAAAAUGCAGGAGAGAAGAGGGAGACGCCCAAGCUCUUCAUGUGCUGUCUCCAAAAUACUUCUUGUUUCCGUUUCCACCAGCGGGGAACUCCCUUCCCCCUGGACGCGUGGGGAAGCCUGGGUGCCCCGUGCUGCAGCUGGGCCCUGAGGCCCAUGCUGCUAGUGGGGAAGUGCACGCAAAAGAGUGCUGGUCACGGAGCCCUGUUUUUCCCCUGGAGGCCUUCAAACAACACUGCCUGCUGCACCCAGGCCUGCUAUGGUGCAGAGCUGGGGGCCCAAGCUUGUGCCAUGUUCACCCUGUGUUCAGGCCCAGUCCCCUGCCCACUACGCAGGCAGCCUUGCCGUGCUCCUGCUACAGUGUGCAGGGGUGGGGGAGGCAUGAGGCUGGUGCUCAGCAUCAGGACCAUCUGUGAAGAGGUAGCUCCAAAGCACCACAAGGGGAUGGAGAGGGAUCUGAAAUCCUCAUUAAGUCUGGGAGAAAGAGAAGCCCUCAGGCCUGAAUCCUGGAUUAUUACCAGGACGUCCAGAAAGACAAAACAUCAAAUUUCAAUAUUUAGCACUGGUGCUUUCAAAGCACUCUCUGUAAUAUUACCUCUGCUCAGAGCUCUAAAGAAGGGUGCUUUUAUUAUUCCCUUUAGACCGGCAUCUUUGACCUCAUCUCCUCUGACCUGCACUUACUGCCAACACUGUUCUGUCAGGGAAACCAGCCUGAGAAACUCCCUCGUGCCUUCUGGCUGCCCAGGUCGCUGUGCCUCUUGCCAUGCUGCCUCCUUAUUCAUGAAUCCUCCCCUUCCCAGUUCUCUCUCUCUCUCUCUCUCUCUCUUUUUUUUUUUUUUUCUUUUUUCUCUUUUCGAAUGCCAAAGCAAGGAGUUUUUAAUAGCUAAAGAACGAAAACACCUCCCACGCCUCACCUCAAAAAAGCUAACUCUCUGUCUUACUCACUCUUUUUGA